GCUUCCUCAGGGGUCCUGAUGCCCCGGCAGAGUGGGAGUGUGCUAGAAUAGAAGAGGCCUACAAAAAUGAAGAGCAAAGCUUCAGUCUGGCAGAUUUGAAGGACCCUGGUGUCUUUAAGCCUUUAGGCAUAGGCAUUAUGAUGAUGCUCCUCCAGCAAAUGACUGGCAUUAAUGCCAUCAUGUUUUAUGCAAAGACAAUCUUCGAGCAGGCCCAUUUUGAAAGCAGCGACGUGGCCACUGUUAUUGUUGCAGCCACACAGGUGGUCUUCACUGCUAUUGCUGCUAUCAUCAUGGACAAGGCUGGGCGGAAAGCUCUACUCAUCUUG